ACUGCUCAGUAACACGUGGACAAUCUGCCCUGAAGUGGAGAAUAAUCCCGGGAAACCGGGGGUAAUACUCCAUAGUUCGUUAUUACUGGAAUGUUUUUCGAACGAAAGAUCCGUCGCUUCAGGAUGAGUCUGCGGCCGAUUAGGUAGUUGUUGGGGUAAUUGCCCAACAAGCCUGUAAUCGGUACGGGUUGUGGGAGCAAGAGCCCGGAGAUGGAUUCUGAGACACGAAUCCAGGCCCUACGGGGCGCAGCAGGCGCGAAAACUUUACCAUGCGGGCAACCGUGAUAAGGAAACCCCGAGUGCCAGCACAGGCUGGCUGUCCGCCAGUUUAAACAACUGGCGAAGAAAGGGCCGGGCAAGACCGGUGCCAGCCGCCGCGGUAAUACCGGCGGCUCGAGUGGUGGCCGCUAUUACUGGGCUUAAAGGGUCCGUAGCUUGAUAAUAGGGUCCCUUGAGAAAUCCGCCGGCUUAACUGGCGGGCGUUCAGGGGAAACUUGUUUUCUAGGGACCGGGAGAGGUGAGGGGUACUGCCGGGGUAGGAGUGAAAUCCUGUAAUCCCGGUGGGACCACCUAUGGCGAAGGCAUCUCACCAGAACGGGUCCGACAGUGAGGGACGAAAGCUGGGGGAGCAAACCGGAUUAGAUACCCGGGUAGUCCCAGCUGUAAACUAUGUGCGUUAGGUGUGUCAGUGACCACGUGUCACUGAGGUGCCGAAGGGAAACCGUGAAACGCACCGCCUGGGGAGUACGGUCGCAAGGCUGAAACUUAAAGGAAUUGGCGGGGGAGCAC
rnacentral:rRNA from 1 species